rnacentral:rRNA from 1 species
UACGUAGGGACCAAGCGUUGUUCGGAUUUACUGGGCGUAAAGGGCGCGUAGGCGGCUUAACAAGUCACUUGUGAAAUCUCCGGGCUUAACUCGGAACGGUCAAGUGAUACUGUCGUGCUAGAGUACAGAAGGGGCAACUGGAAUUCUCGGUGUAGCGGUGAAAUGCGUAGAUAUCGAGAGGAACACCUGCGGCGAAGGCGGGUUGCUGGGCUGAUACUGACGCUGAGGCGCGAAAGCUAGGGGAGCAAACAGG